rnacentral:rRNA from 1 species
CGGCGGACGGGUGAGUAACACGUGGAUAACCUACCUAUAAGACUGGGAUAACUUCGGGAAACCGGAGCUAAUACCGGAUAAUAUUUUGAACCGCAUGGUUCAAAAGUGAAAGACGGUCUUGCUGUCACUUAUAGAUGGAUCCGCGCUGCAUUAGCUAGUUGGUAAGGUAACGGCUUACCGAGGCAACGAUGCAUAGCCGACCUGAGAGGGUGAUCGGCCACACUGGAACUGAGACACGGUCCAG